rnacentral:rRNA from 1 species
ACUGUACAAAGGUAGCAUAAUYAUUAGUCUUUUAAUUAAAGGCUUGUAUGAAUGGCUGGACGGAAGCUAAACUUUUUUUUUAUUAAAAUUUUUGAAUUUAGUAUUUAAGUUAAAAAACUUAAUUUUUUUUGAGUGACGAGAAGACCCUAUAGAACUUUAUAUGAAAAUUGAAAUUUUUAUUUGRUUGGGGUGACAUAAAAUAAACUUUUUACUUUUUUAUCAUUUUAAAUGAUUUUUAGAUCCUAAAUUUUAGAAUAAAGAAAAAGUUACCUUAGGGAUAACAGCAUAAUUUUUUUUAAAAGAUCUUAUUAGUAAAAAAGAUUAUGACCUCGAUGUUGAAUUAAGAUAAUGUUUUGGUGUAGAAUUUAAAAUAUUUAGUCUGUUCGACUUUUAWUUUUACAUGAUUUGAGUUCAGACCGGCGUGAGCCAGGUCGGCUUCUAUC